rnacentral:rRNA from 1 species
GACGGAGGAUGCAAGUGUUAUCCGGAAUUAUUGGGCGUAAAGAGCUCGUAGGCGGUUUGUCGCGUCUGCCGUGAAAGUCCGGGGCUCAACUCCGGAUCUGCGGUGGGUACGGGCAGACUAGAGUGAUGUAGGGGAGACUGGAAUUCCUGGUGUAGCGGUGAAAUGCGCAGAUAUCAGGAGGAACACCGAUGGCGAAGGCAGGUCUCUGGGCAUUAACUGACGCUGAGGAGCGAAAGCAUGGGGAGCGAACAGG